UUGGAGGUUCAGGCAGUGACGUAACUUUCUGCCUUAGGUGGCCUUCCGCUCUGGCGGCUGUUGCGACGGGGGUUCGGGGAACAUUUACUGGGCCUCCCCGCUCCCUCUGCUCUUGGAGGUGCCAUGAGGUCAGUUAGCUACGUGCAGCGCGUGGCGCUGGAGUUCAGCGGGAGCCUCUUCCCGCACGCAAUCUGCCUGGGCGACGUUGAUAACGAUACGUUAAAUGAACUGGUGGUGGGAGACACCAGCGGGAAGGUGUCUGUGUAUAAAAAUGAUGACAGUCGGCCAUGGCUCACCUGUUCCUGCCAGGGAAUGCUGACUUGCGUUGGGGUUGGAGACGUAUGUAAUAAAGGAAAGAACCUGUUGGUGGCAGUGAGUGCCGAAGGCUGGUUUCAUUUGUUUGACCUGACACCUGCCAAGGUGUUGGAUGCUUCUGGGCACCACGAGACACUAAUCGGAGAGGAGCAGCGUCCAGUCUUCAAGCAGCACAUCCCUGCCAACACCAAGGUCAUGCUGAUCAGCGACAUCGAUGGAGAUGGGUGUCGUGAGCUGGUGGUGGGCUACACAGACCGUGUGGUGCGAGCUUUCCGCUGGGAGGAGCUAGGUGAGGGUCCUGAACAUCUGACAGGGCAGCUGGUGUCCCUCAAGAAAUGGAUGCUGGAGGGUCAGGUGGACAGCCUCUCAGUGACUCUGGGGCCACUGGGUCUUCCUGAACUGAUGGUGUCUCAGCCAGGCUGUGCUUAUGCAAUUCUACUGUGUACCUGGAAAAAGGACACUGGGUCCCCUCCUGCCUCUGAAGGGCCCAUGGACGGCAGUAGGGAGACCCCGGCUGCCCGAGAUGUGGUGCUGCACCAGACAUCUGGCCGCAUCCACAACAAGAAUGUCUCCACUCACCUAACAGGCAACAUCAAACAAGGCCACGGCACUGAGAGUAGUGGCUCUGGCCUCUUUGCACUGUGCACCCUGGAUGGGACACUGAAGCUCAUGGAAGAAAUGGAAGAAGCAGACAAGCUGCUGUGGUCAGUGCAGGUGGAUCACCAGCUCUUUGCCCUGGAGAAAUUGGAUGUCACUGGCAACGGGCAUGAGGAGGUAGUUGCAUGCGCCUGGGAUGGACAGACAUACAUCAUUGAUCACAACCGCACCGUCGUCCGCUUCCAAGUGGAUGAAAAUAUCCGUGCCUUCUGUGCAGGCCUAUAUGCCUGCAAAGAGGGCCGCAACAGCCCCUGCCUCGUAUAUGUCACUUUCAACCAGAAGAUCUAUGUGUACUGGGAAGUGCAGCUGGAGCGGAUGGAGUCUACCAAUCUGGUGAAACUGCUGGAGACCAAGCCAGAGUACCACAGCCUGCUGCAGGAGCUGGGCGUGGAUCCUGACGACCUCCCUGUGACUCGUGCCCUGCUUCACCAAACGCUCUACCAUCCAGACCAGCCACCACAGUGUGCUCCCUCAAGCCUCCAGGAUCCCACCUAGCUGUACUUGCCUUGUAGCUGGUGAAGGAUUCUUCUGAACCCCCACCCUACCCCCAAAGAUCCGAGGACACUGGCACAGAGAUGGGGGAUAGUCAGAACAUCUCUGGGGACUCCUUGUGCUGCAGCGACUGAAAGUCUCGGCCUUUGCCCCACCCCGAAGAGAAAGGUGCGGUGGCUCACGCCUGUAAUCCCAGCACUUUGGAAGGCUGAGGCGGGCGGAUCACUUGAGGUCAGGAGUUCAAGACCAGCCUGACCAACAUGGUGAAACCCCGUCUCUACUAAAAAUAAAAAAUUAGCUGGGUGUGGUGGUGCAUACCUGUAAUCCCAGCUACUCAGGAGGCUGAGGCAGGAGAAUCGCUUGAACCCGGGAGGCGGAGGUUGUGGUGAGCCAAGAUCGCGCCAUUACGCUCCAGCCUGGGCAACAAGAGCAAAACUCUGUCUCAAAACAAACAAACAAAAAAACUGGUUUUUAUGAGACUCAUACAAUAGGGGCAGAACUCCCAGAUAAAUAAAUCAAAAAAGGAAGUGGGCCAGGUGCGGUGGCUCAUGCUUGUUAGUUCUAGCACUUUGGAGGCAAGAGGAUCACUUGAAGCCAGGAGUUCAAGACCAGCCUAGGCAACAUAGCAAGACUCUGUCUCUACAAAAAAUAAAAUGGAAAAAAAAAAAGUGGUUAUAUGUGAUGGGUUCAUAAGUUUGGGGAAGAUCUGCCAGAAAUGGAGAAAUGGUGACCUGUUUGUUUAGAGGAAUCCUUGGGAGUCUGAUGGCCUCCUGGUUCAAAAACUCCAGGUUAGGAAUAGAGGAAGGAUGAGAAGACUGGAAUCCCCUGUUAGGAAACUCAGAUAUGGGUAACCAAGAAGUUCGCCACUGGAAACAAAGGAAGACAACUUCACCUACUUUGGGACAUAGACAGACAUUUUGAUAUACACUUGGAUAUACACACAAAUCGUUUUCUCAUUCCAAACAUUCAUUGAGUAUCUACUACAAGAUAUGUUACCAGAAGGUACAUCAAUGAAUGCUAUUCUUUAGGAGUCUGAAGGAAGUAAAAUAUAACUCUACUAUAUGGCAGAAAGUUUUAUGGUCUAUAAAAGGAUGUGAUUGCUGUGGCUCACACCUAUCUAUAAUCCAAGCACUUUGGGAGGCUAAGGUGGAAGGAUCGCUUGAGGCCAGGAGUUCAAGACCAGCCUGACCAACGUGGUAGUCUAAAAAUACAAAAAAAAAAAAAAAAAAUUAGCCAGGUGUGGUGGCGCACACUUGUAAUUUCAGCUACUCAGAAGACUGAGGUGGGAGGAUCGCUUGAGUCCAGGAGGUUGAGGCUGCGGUGAGCUCUGAUCAUACCAUUGCAUUCCAGCCUGGGUGAUAGAGUAAGACUCUGUCUCUAAAAAAAAAAGAACUGGAAAAGUCAAGGGGUGCGGUGGCUCACACCUGUAAUCCCAGCACUUUGGGAGGCCGAGGUGGACGGAUCACCUGGGGUCAGGAGUUCGAGACCAGCCUGACCAACCUGGAGAAACCCCAUCUCUACUAAAAAUACAAAAUUAGCCAGGCGUGGUGGCAUUUGCCUGUAAUCCCAGCUACUCGGGAGGCUGAGGCAGAAGAAUUGCUUGAAUCUAGGAGGCGGAGGUUGCCGUGAGCCAAGAUCACACCAUUGCACUCCAGCCUGGGCAACAAGAGCGAAACUCCAUCUGAAAAAAAAAAAGGGCCGGGCACCGUGGCUCACGCCUGUAGUCCCAGCACCAGGAAUUUGAGACCAGCCUGGCGAACUUGGUGAAACCCUGUCUCUACUAAAAAUAGAAAAUUAGCCGAGCGUGGUAGUGUGGACCUAUAGUCCCAGCUACUUGGGAGGCUGAGGCAGGAGAACCGCUUGAACCCAGGAGGCAGAGGCUGCAGUGACACAAGAUAUGCCACUGCACUCCAGCCUGGGUGACAGAGCGAUACUCCAUCUCAAAAAAAAAAAAUUUUUUUUUAAAAAGGACAUGAGUAAUAUGCCUUAGAGGUUGGUAGGGAGGAAAGGCUGUUUCCUACUGGGGAAAUCAGAAAAGGUUUCAGGGAGGAGGUAGCAUCUGAGCUGGGCUUUCACUUGCAGAAUGUGGGCCCAGAAUGAUUGGAGAGCAAGAAGAGAGUAAUCCAGGUAGAAGAAGCACAGAGCAAAGAUGGUGGCCGAGGACCAGUGGGAAUUUAUUGCAAACGUUCAAUAGUGACUGAGUGGUUAAGUGGUUCCAGAGAUUACAGGGCCAGUGCCUUAGAGCACAUGAGUUUUUUCCAGAAUUACGUUAUCCAUGCACACACACCAUUUGUCUGUGUAGAGUACACUGAGGAGUACUUAAUUUAAGGAUUGUAUUUUGACCAAGGAAAGGGGGCAGAGUAAUGGUGGUGACAGAUGGAGUUGCACCAAGGAGACAUGGGUUGGGGCAGGGAGGAAGGAGGUAGAGGAUCCUGGUUAGGUCCAGGCUAGGGAGAGAGGUGCCCUUUCUCCCUCCCUCCCUCUCCCAUCAGGGCAGAGCAGAAAGGAGAGCGGGUGAAGUGAGUGCAGGCAGGGUUGUUAAUGAAAGUGUGUCCCUGGGAGGCCUCUCACCUUGCAG